rnacentral:rRNA from 1 species
AUCAUUAAUGAACGUCGUUGAUCAUCAUCGGGUGGCCCUCGGGCCGUCCGUGCCGGAAAUUCACACCCACGUGCACCUCGGGAGGUGGCGGUUUUUUCCGUCGGCUCCCUCUCGCAAAAAAAAUGCCUGUCAGUGAAGCAUGUCGGAGAGCUAUACGUUACAUACAACUUUCAACAACGGAUCUCUUGGCUUUCGCAUCGAUGAAGAACGCAGCGAAAGUGCGAAACGUAAUGUGAAUUGCAGAAUUCAGUGAAUCAUCGAAUCUUUGAACGCAUCUUGCGCUCUUCGGUAUUCCGAGGAGCAUGCCUGUUUGAGUGUCGUGACAAUCUCUCGACCUUCCCCUCGCGUUCGCGUUCGGAGGGUCGGAUUUUGGACGUUGCCGUCUUUCAUCGGAAGGCUCGUCUCGAAAUGCAUUAGCCUCGUUCCGGCCUCGGUCCUUCCACAGACGAUAUGGCGUGAUAAUGAAAAAACUCGCUGGCGUCGGUGUCGGGCCUUGGAGACGGGGUGGGCUCACAGUCGUCUCCGGACAAUUUCCCUCGAUCUGACCUCAAAUCAGGUAGGACUACCCGCUGAACUUAAGCAUAUCAAUAAGCGGAGGAA